GAUGAACGCUAGCGGCAGGCUUAACACAUGCAAGUCGAGGGGUAGAAGUCUUCGGGCUUUGAGACCGGCGUACGGGUGCGUAACGCGUAUGCAAUCUGCCUUCCACAGAGGGAUAGCCCAGAGAAAUUUGGAUUAAUACCUCAUAGCAUCAUGACCCGGAAUCGGGAUAUGAUUAAAGUCACAACGGUGGAAGAUGAGCAUGCGUCCCAUUAGCUAGUUGGUAAGGUAACGGCUUACCAGGGCUACGAUGGGUAGGGGUCCUCGGAGGGAGAUCCCCCACACUGGUACUGAGACACGGACCAGACUCCGACGGGAGGCAGCAGUGAGCAAUAUUGGUCGGUGGGCGCAAGCCUGGACCAGCCAUGCCGCGUGCAGGAUGACGGUCCUAUGGAUUGUAAACUGCUUUUGUACGGGAAGAAACACUCCUACGUGUAGGAGCUUGACGGUACCGUAAGAAUAAGGAUCGGCUAACUCCGUGCCAGCAGCCGCAGUAACAC
rnacentral:rRNA from 1 species